rnacentral:rRNA from 1 species
UACGUAGGGGGCAAGCGUUGUCCGGAUUCAUUGGGCGUAAAGAGCUCGUAGGCGGCUGCUCAAGUCGAAUGUGAAAACUCGAGGCUCAACCUCGAGCCUGCAUUCGAUACUGGGCGGCUAGAGUCUGGUAGGGGGAUCUGGAAUUCCUGGUGUAGCGGUGGAAUGCGCAGAUAUCAGGAGGAACACCGGUGGCGAAGGCGGGAUCCUGGGCCAAUACUGACACUGAGUGAGCGAAAGCCAGGGGAGCAAACGGG